UACGGAGGUGGCAAGCGUUACUCGGAUUCAUUGGGUGUAAAGGGCAAGUAGGCGGUCUAAUGGGUGAGGGGUGAAAUCUUCCGACUCAAUCGGAAAACUGCCUUUCAAACUAUUAGACUUGUGGACGGAAGGGGAAGAUGGAAUUCUCAGUGUAAGGGUGAAAUCUGUAGAUAUUGAGAAGAACACCGGCGGCGAAGGCGAUCUUCUGGUCCGUUCCAGACGCUGAAUUGCGAAAGCUAGGGGAG
rnacentral:rRNA from 1 species